ACUCCUACGGGAGGCAGCAGUGGGGAAUAUUGCGCAAUGGGCGAAAGCCUGACGCAGCGACGCCGCGUGAGGGAUGAAGGCCUUCGGGUUGUAAACCUCUUUCAGCGCUAGAAGAAGCGAAAGUGACGGUAUGCGCAGAAGAAGCACCGGCUAACUACGUGCCAGCAGCCGCGGUAAUACGUAGGGUGCAAGCGUUGUCCGGAAUUAUUGGGCGUAAAGAGCUCGUAGGCGGUUUGUCGCGUCU
rnacentral:rRNA from 1 species